AUACUUACCUGGACUGGGUUUAUGGGUGAUCGAUAAGGCUCAUGACCUAGGUUGACGACCUUCAUUGCACUUUGGAGGGGUGCCUGCUAAGAUCUGCCCAAGUGGCAAAGUCUACGUCAUAAUUUGUGAAAGAGCUUGUGUUCGCGCGGUCCCUAC
rfam:Solanum tuberosum cultivar DM 1-3 516 R44 scf00128_4, whole genome shotgun sequence.